GGCCUAUAGCUCAGUUGGUUAGAGCAGAGGACUCAUAAUCCUUUGGUCCACGGUUCUUAUGUGGUACGAAUGCCAGUGUGGUAUUUGGAGCCA
rnacentral:tRNA from 1 species